rnacentral:rRNA from 1 species
GAACGAGCGGCGGACGGGUGAGUAACACGUGGGCAACCUGCCUGUAAGACUGGGAUAACCCCGGGAAACCGGGGCUAAUACCGGAUAACACUUUUUGGUACAUGCCAAGAAGUUGAAAGGCGGCCUUUUUGGCUGUCACUUACAGAUGGGCCCGCGGCGCAUUAGCUAGUUGGUAGGGUAACGGCCUACCAAGGCAACGAUGCGUAGCCGACCUGAGAGGGUGAUCGGCCACACUGGGACUGAGACACGGCCCAGACUCCUACGGGAGGCAGCAGUAGGGAAUCUUCCGCAAUGGACGAAAGUCUGACGGAGCAACGCCGCGUGAGUGAUGAAGGUUUUCGGAUCGUAAAACUCUGUUGUUAGGGAAGAACAAGUGCCGUUCAAAUAGGGCGGCACCUUGACGGUACCUAACCAGAAAGCCCCGGCUAACUACGUGCCAGCAGCCGCGGUAAUACGUAGGGGGCAAGCGUUGUCCGGAAUUAUUGGGCGUAAAGCGCGCGCAGGCGGUCCUUUAAGUCUGAUGUGAAAGCCCACGGCUCAACCGUGGAUGGCCAUUGGAAACUGGAGGACUUGAGUACAGAAGAGGAGAGUGGAAUUCCACGUGUAGCGGUGAAAUGCGUAGAGAUGUGGAGGAACACCAGUGGCGAAGGCGACUCUCUGGUCUGUAACUGACGCUGAGGUGCGAAAGCGUGGGGAGCGAACAGGAUUAGAUACCCUGGUAGUCCACGCCGUAAACGUUG